AGAGUUUGAUCCUGGCUCAGAUUGAACGCUGGCGGCAUGCCUUACACAUGCAAGUCGAACGGUAACAGCACUUCGGUGGCUGACGAGUGGCGAACGGGUGAGCAAUACAUCGGAACGUGCCCGAGAGUGGGGGAUAACGCAGCGAAAGCUGUGCUAAUACCGCAUACGAUCUACGGAUGAAAGCAGGGGACCGCAAGGCCUUGCGCUCAUGGAGCGGCCGAUGGCAGAUUAGGUAGUUGGUGGGAUAAAAGCUUACCAAGCCGACGAUCUGUAGCUGGUCUGAGAGGACGACCAGCCACACUGGGACUGAGACACGGCCCAGACUCCUACGGGAGGCAGCAGUGGGGAAUUUUGGACAAUGGGCGAAAGCCUGAUCC
rnacentral:rRNA from 1 species